rnacentral:rRNA from 1 species
UACAGAGGGCUCAAGCGUUGUUCGGAUUCAUUGGGCGUAAAGGGUGCGUAGGCGGCGCGGUAAGUCGGGUGUGAAAUCUCGGGGCUUAACUCCGAAACUGCAUUCGAUACUGCCGUGCUUGAGGACUGGAGAGGAGACUGGAAUUUACGGUGUAGCGGUGAAAUGCGUAGAUAUCGUAAGGAAGACCAGUGGCGAAGGCGGGUCUCUGGGCAGUUCCUGACACUGAGGCACGAAGGUCAGGGGAGCAAACGGG